rnacentral:rRNA from 1 species
CCUGAACGCUGGCGGCGUGGCUAAGACAUGCAAGUCGCACGGGUGUAGCAAUACACCAGUGGCGCACGGGUGAGUAAUGUAUCGCUAAUGUACCCUUAGGCCUGGGAUAGCUAACCGAAAGGUUAGGUAAUACCAGAUGAAAUAACCCCUUGGCAUCUUGGGGUUCUCAAAGCAGCAAUGCACCUUUGGAGCAGGCGAUAUCGUAUCAGGUAGUUGGUAGGGUAACGGCCACCAAGCCGACGACGCGUAGCUGGUCUGAGAGGACGGCCAGCCACAUCGGGACUGAGACACUGCCCGGACUCCUACGGGGGGCUGCAGUAACGAAUCUUCCGCAAUGUACGAAAGUAUGACGGAGCGACGCCGCGUGU